rnacentral:rRNA from 1 species
CGCGGACACUCCUACGGGAGGCAGCAGUGGGGAAUAUUGCACAAUGGGGGAAACCCUGAUGCAGCCAUGCCGCGUGUGUGAAGAAGGCCUUCGGGUUGUAAAGCACUUUCAGUAGGGAGGAAGGUAGUGUAGUUAACACCUGCACUAUUUGACGUUACCUACAGAAGAAGCACCGGCUAACUCCGUGCCAGCAGCCGCGGUAAUACGGAGGGUGCGAGCGUUAAUCGGAAUUACUGGGCGUAAAGCGCAUGCAGGCGGCCUGUUUAAGUCAGAUGUGAAAGCCCGGGGCUUAACCUCGGAAUUGCAUUUGAAACUGGCAGGCUAGAGUCUUGUAGAGGGGGUAGAAUUUCAGGUGUAGCGGUGAAAUGCGUAGAGAUCUGAAGGAAUACCGGUGGCGAAGGCGGCCCCCUGGACAGAUACUGACACUCAGAUGCGAAAGCGUGGGGAGCAAACAGGAUUAGAUACCCUGGUAG